CAUGCAGUCGAACGCGUCUCCGUUAAUGAUUUUAGGUGCUUGCAUUUGAAAGAUUUAACAUUGAGACGAGUGGCGAACUGGUGAGUAACACGUGGGUAACCUGCCCUUGAAGUAGGGGAUAACACUUGGAAACAGGUGCUAAUACCGUAUAACAACCAAAACCACCUGGUUUUGGUUUAAAAGACGGCUUCGGCUGUCACUUUAGGAUGGACCCGCGGCGUAUUAGCUUGUUGGUAAGGUAACGGCCUACCAAGGCGAUGAUACGUAGCCGACCUGAGAGGGUAAUCGGCCACAUUGGGACUGAGACACGGCCCAAACUCCUACGGGAGGCAGCAGUAGGGAAUCUUCCACAAUGGACGAAAGUCUGAUGGAGCAACGCCGCGUGAGUGAUGAAGGGUUUCGGCUCGUAAAACUCUGUUGUUGGAGAAGAACAGGUGUCAGAGUAACUGUUGACAUCUUGACGGUAUCCAACCAGAAAGCCACGGCUAACUACGUGCCAGCAGCCGCGGUAAUACGUAGGUGGCAAGCGUUGUCCGGAUUUAUUGGGCGUAAAGCGAGCGCAGGCGGUUUUUUAGGUCUGAUGUGAAAGCCUUCGGCUUAACCGGAGAAGUGCAUCGGAAACCGGGAGACUUGAGUGCAGAAGAGGACAGUGGAACUCCAUGUGUAGCGGUGAAAUGCGUAGAUAUAUGGAAGAACACCAGUGGCGAAGGCGGCUGUCUGGUCUGUAACUGACGCUGAGGCUCGAAAGCAUGGGUAGCGAACAGGAUUAGAUACCCUGGUAGUCCAUGCCGUAAACGAUGAGUGCUAAGUGUUGGAGGGUUUCCGCCCUUCAGUGCUGCAGCUAACGCAUUAAGCACUCCGCCUGGGGAGUACGACCGCAAGGUUGAAACUCAAAGGAAUUGACGGGGGCCCGCACAAGCGGUGGAGCAUGUGGUUUAAUUCGAUGC
rnacentral:rRNA from 1 species